AGGCCUUGACAUCCAGUGAACUUUCUAGAGAUAGAUUGGUGCCUUCGGGAACACUGAGAC
rnacentral:rRNA from 1 species